rnacentral:rRNA from 1 species
GAUGAACGCUGGCGGCGUGCCUAAUACAUGCAAGUCGAGCGAACAGACGAGGAGCUUGCUCCUCUGACGUUAGCGGCGGAGGGGUGAGUAACACGUGGAUAACCUACCUAUAAGACUGGGAUAACUUCGGGAAACCGGAGCUAAUACCGGAUAAUAUAUUGAACCGCAUGGUUCAAUAGUGAAAGACGGUUUUGCUGUCACUUAUAGAUGGAUCCGCGCCGCAUUAGCUAGUUGGUAAGGUAACGGCUUACCAAGGCAACGAUGCGUAGCCGACCUGAGAGGGUGAUCGGCCACACUGGAACUGAGACACGGUCCAGACUCCUACGGGAGGCAGCAGUAGGGAAUCUUCCGCAAUGGGCGAAAGCCUGACGGAGCGACGCCGCGUGAGUGAUGAAGGUCUUCGGAUCGUAAAACUCUGUUAUUAGGGAAGAACAAAUGUGUAAGUAACUAUGCACGUCUUGACGGUACCUAAUCAGAAAGCCACGGCUAACUACGUG